rnacentral:rRNA from 1 species
AUUGAACGCUGGCGGCAGGCCUAACACAUGCAAGUCGAGCGAGCGGCGGACGGGUGAGUAAUAUCUGGGAAACUGCCCGCUGGAGGGGGAUAACUACUGGAAACGGUAGCUAAUACCCCAUACCAUCAGGUGUGCCCAGAUGGGAGUAGCUAGUAGGUGGGGUAACGGGUCACCUAGGCGAGGAUCCCUAGCUGGUCUGAGAGGAUGACCAGCCACAUGGGAACUGAGACACGGUCCAGACUCCUACGGGAGGCAGCAGUGGGGAAUAUUGCACAAUGGGAGCAAGCCUGAUGCAGCCAUGCCGCGUGUGUGAAGAAGGCCUUCGGGUUGUAAAGCACUUUCAGCGUGGAGGCGUUACCCGCAGAAGAAGCACCGGCUAACUCCGUGCCAGCAGCCGCGGUAAUUC